AUUAUUAAUAUUAAUGGGUAUAGCACUGAAUAUCGAAUGUAUUUUGAAAGGAGUAUGUAAGUACUUACUUUGGAUGUUUAAUCUCAAAAUAAUUAAUAUUGAUUGUUGUUAAAUUAAAAUAAAUUAUCAGACUUAUUGCGAUAAGGUG
rnacentral:rRNA from 1 species